ACCGAAAUAACAAUCAAGACGAACUCCACACAUCCAACAUUUACUGAUACGCCAAUAUAUCAUCGAUAAGCGUGCUAAUGGGUUUGAAUAUUAACCAACAUUAUUUGGUUGGCAUUGCCAAGUUGAAGAUAUGCACAUCAUGAAACCCCAUUCUACCUAUGUCCUUUCGGACACACAUUCUCCACCUUGUCGCCAUCCACUUGCGCCACCACCCCUCGCCACCGCUAUGACAGAGAAAGAGAAACGAAAAAGUAAAAAAAAACCAAAUUUGGCUCAUCGAUAUGUCGGUCCCACAUGCCAUGAGUUUAUUGGGGAUGAGUUUCGGUGAUAUGUUACAGCAACACACAUCUAAAACCGAAUAAAUCUAUAGGGCAUCUCGUUAAUUUCUUCCCUCCCUGUCUGGAUAUGUUUAUUUCUUUCCUUUCCAUCUGGAUUUUCUCAGACACUUGUAUGUUCGGUAUUCUAAAAUGGUGUGACCUCUUUUCCUUCCGUAGAUUAUGGUGACAUUUAUGUUGUAAAUGUUAGGUAGAUGAUACUUUUCAUGAUUUAUGUUUUUUUAUGAUGUGAUUCUCAAAUCUUAUCUGGUAGGCAACACUUAUUAUCAAACAUUCAAGAACAUAGCAGUUUAAGGGCAAAAUAAUAGAAGUUCUGCAGGUAUGUGAACAAAAAUAAACCGGGGGAAGACAUAGACUACUGAUGAGCAUAUGAGGUUUUGGUAUGAGAUCAGCUACACUCAGGCUUAUAUACUCGAGGAUAUUCCAAUUUCAAUUAGUGCAAACAUAAUGGGCUAUAUUUUGGAUGUAUUCUUAUCAUUUUUUCAUAUUAAACAAGAGUGCAUUUUAUGAAUAUUUUGUGUUAAAAUUGCCACAUGUAUUUUUUAAUCCCGAAAAUCCCAUGGCAGUUUUAUCGCGAUAUGGCAUUUUUAUUGCGAUAUGGCAUUUUUAUUUUAAUGGCGUGCCAAUUUUAUUAUUAAGCGCAUGGCACUUUUUAUUAACAAUAUGAUGCCAUUUUUAUUAUAAGAGGAUGUCACCUUUUAUUAAGGAGAUGGUAUUUUUAUCAUGUCAUUUGUUUAUAUAGAGAAUGGCAGUUUUUAUAAUAAGAGAAUGGCAUUUUAUAAAGAGGAUGCCUUUUUUGUUAUAAGAAGAUGACAUUUUUAUAAGAGGAUGGCAUUUUUUAUCAUGACAUUUAUUAUAAAUCUGUCAUGCAUGAUUUAUAUAUGAUGGCAUUUUUCCCAUUGUUUG
rnacentral:lncRNA from 1 species